rnacentral:rRNA from 1 species
AUGCUUAGCCGUAACAUUGACAGUUUAAUACAUUUUCUGUCCGCCCGGGUACUACGAGCAUUAGCUUAAAACCCAAAGGACUUGGCGGUGCUUUAGACCCACCUAGAGGAGCCUGUUCUAGAACCGAUAAUCCCCGUUCAACCUCACCCUUCCUUGCUCGUCCCGCCUAUAUACCACCGUCGCCAGCUUACCCUGUGAAGGGUAAAAAGUAAGCAAAAUCGGCACAGCCCCGAACGUCAGGUCGAGGUGUAGCGAAUGGAAGGGGAAGAAAUGGGCUACAUUCCCUCUAAAUGCAGGGAACCACGAAAGAUGCACUGAAAUCGCACAUCUGAAGGAGGAUUUAGCAGUAAGCGGAAAGUAGAGUGUUCCACUGAAACCGGCUCUUAAGCGCGCACACACCGCCCGUCACUCUCCCCGAAACCUCACCAAAACAUUAAUUAAAAUGCCAAAAUCAUAGAGGGGAGGCAAGUCGUAACAUGGUAAGUGUACUGGAA